rnacentral:rRNA from 1 species
GGAUUAGGCAACAAGUCGAGGGAAACCGCCCCGUAGCGUACUCGAGCGGCGUAAGGGACAGUACCGUAUGGGUCCCGUACCUUCAGGACUGGGAUAGCUGCGGGAAACUGCAAUUAAUACCAGAUAACGUCUCCGGACCAAAGGUGUGAGUCCGCCUGGAGAGCGGCCCAUAUCCUAUUAGCUAGUUGGUGGGGUAAUGGCCUACCAAGGCAAAGAUGGGUAGCAGGUGUGAGAGCACGACCUGCGUCACUGGGACUGAGAACUGCCCGGACACCUACGGGUGGCUGCAGUCGAGAAUCUUCGGCAAUGGGCGCAAGCCUGACCGAGCGACGCCGCGUGUGGGAUGAAGGCCUUCGGGUUGUAAACCACUGUCGGAGGGGAUGAAAUACCGGUAGGUACUCCUAUCGGUUUGACUGAUCCUCGGAGGAAGGGUGGGCUAAGUUCGUGCCAGCAGCCGCGGUAAGACGUACCACCCAAACGUUAUUCGGAAUCACUGGGCUUACAGAGUCCGUAGGCGGCUCGGAAAGUUGGGCGUGAAAUACCUCAGCUCAACUGACGAAUUGCGCUCAAAACUACCGAGCUUGAGAGAGACAGAGGUGAGCGGAACUGAUGGUGGAGCGGUGAAAUGCGUUGAUAUCAUCAGGAACACCGGUGGCGAGGGCGGCUCACUGGGUCUUUUCUGACGCUGAGGGACGAAGCUAGGGUAGCGAACGGGAUUAGAUACCCCGUAGUCCUACCCUUAAACGAUGAGCACUAAAUCCGAGGGGACCCCUCACAUCCUCUUGGUCGUAGGAAAGUUUUGAGUUCUCCGCCUGGGGAAUAUGUCGCAAGGCGGAAACUCAAAAGAAUUGACGGGGUCUCACACAAGCAGGGGAGGAUGGGCUUAAUUGAGGUGCGCGAAGAACCUUAUCCUAGUCUUGGCAUGCUUAGGAACCUGGCCCACAAAUUGAGUGCCCUCAAGGAGCCUUUCCACAGGUGCUCCAUAACUAUCGUCACCUCGUUUCUGAGAAGUCCCGUUAAGUCGCUUAACAGCGAAACCCUUGUCCUUAGUUUCCAGCGGAUCAUGCCGGGACUCUAAGGAAACUCCCAAUUUUAAACCGAGAAGUGGGAUGACCUCAAUUCCUCAUUCCCUUUAUUACUGGGCUCCACACCUCCUCCAAUCCAUGCACAAAGGAAGCAAACCCGGAGGCCACCAAAUCACAAAAAACAUUCCUCAUUUCAAAUUCUAUUCUCCAACCCGCCUACAUUAA